UACGAAGGGGGCUAGCGUUGUUCGGAAUUACUGGGCGUAAAGCGCGCGCAGGCGGUCUUCCAAGUCAGUGGUGAAAGCCCGGAGCUCAACUCCGGAACUGCCAUUGAAACUGUAAGACUUGAGGACGAGAGAGGUGAGUGGAAUUCCCAGUGUAGAGGUGAAAUUCGUAGAUAUUCGCAAGAACACCAGUGGCGAAGGCGGCUCACUGGCCCGAUACUGACGCUGAGGCACGAAAAGCGUGGGGAGCAAACAGG
rnacentral:rRNA from 1 species